rnacentral:misc_RNA from 1 species
GGCAGUCAACUUUUCACCCUCGUCUCUUUCUCUCUCUGCCUCUCCGCUCCCUCCCAGAAAACACAUCCCAGCGACAGACAACACUAGGAGGAGGAGAAAAGGCGUGCGCGCGGUCUGCACGUGCAAACACCCAGUACCCACCAAAACAAACAAAACGCACAAAAACGCAUACCUUAUGCCACUCCCUUCCUCUUCGGGUGCCGAAUUCAUCUCCAAGAGGUAAUUGCGUUUCUUGCUUUUCUCUUCGCAGGUUGUCCGUCUAUCCCUCCGUCAGACUUCUUCUUUACGCCCUCUCCAUCUAUGUGGAACGACGCUUUUGGGAGCUGCGUCUUCCCUUCGCCGUAAGCGUCCUUAAACAAAGGAAACCGCUCACUGUACUGCGGCGAGGCGCUCCGCGCACACGUGAUCACGAAAACCGAAAAAGUCACGAUUACAGCGCUGCACGCACGCCACCAUCGACUGAGAAGCUGAGUGCUGCUUUCCUUUGGAGAGGGAAGAACGGUAAGAAAGGUAAGCGCAUGCGUGUCGUCCGAGAUUCGGUGACGUCUCUCUCAACAUCAAGAGUGUCGUUCGCAGGCAACAGGAGCACGAGCGGGCUCUUCUCCGCGUGCCUCCUGAACUGCCGACAUCUGCGGUGUCUGUGUUUCUCAUUCUUUUCGAGCGGCAGCGGGGUGCUGUCGUGGCGCUCAUUGAGGUCACUUAUUUUUUCUGUCGUUUUUGUGUAUCCUGUUCCUGGCGUGUUUUUUUUUUGCUUGUCAACGCCGAGGCAGCAUAGGCAGAGAAGUCGUAGUGCUUGAGCAUCGCUAUUUAGGUAAAGGUGAGGGUCUCCUGUUGCUCGGGUCGCUAGGUGUGCCGCUUCGGUGCGGUUUGAAUGCAUGGAAUGAACGGCAAGCGGAACUUUCGCGCGUUGAUUCAAAACGUGGGGGUUCACAAGGUGAAGAAUUCACCAAAGCGACGCAUUCAAAACGUGGCGCAAGAUGUGUGGCGCUUCCGUGCCAAGGGCGGCGCAGUGACGGCGCCUAAAUUAGAUGCGGCGGGCACCAGCCCCAGGCUCAGGAGGUCCGACUCGGCGGAGACGUCUAUUCUCUCGCUCGGCUGGCGGCCCUCUUUCAUGGCCGUUGGCGCACCGUCACCUCUCUGCAAAGGACUCUCCCUUUUCGAGCGCCUCCAGCAGCGUCGUGUGCAGCUGUACACCUCGGCGAAUAUAAAGAAUAAGGUGCGCCAAGCCUUUUUGUCGGCGGUCGCCGCCUACGAGCAGCUCUUGGCGGCUGCGACGAAGGCGCUCGAGCCGUCGUCACAGUUCCUAGCCCUCUCGGCAGCGACGGCAUUGCCCCCUUCCCAGCCCUCGCCUGCGGCAUCUGGCAGCGCCGAUGCUUGUGGCGCGGCGGCCUUCUACCUGGACAAGAUGCAGCACACCUUUGAGGAGGCAAAGCGGUACUACAACAGCACUCCCUUUGAUCAGCGCUGGGAUGACAUCCUCAGCUCCCUCGCGGUGCUUGGUCGCAUAUCGCACGGUAAUGUCGUCGUCCCGUUUCACGACAGCGCAAAGGCAUUCGAGAGCAUGUGGGCUGCUGUCAAGGAAGCGAAAGAGCGGGUGCACUGGCAGACCUACAUUUGCAAGGACGACUUCAUUGGUCAAGGAACGGUACGCCGGCUCGUGGAGGCUCGCCGGCGCGGCUGCGACACGGAGCUCCUGUACGACUGCGGUGGCAACAUCUCGGGGCGGGCGCGGCUGACAGAGGAGCUGAAGCAGUGCGGCGCCAAGGUGAUUCCGUACCGUCCCUUCUUCCGCAGUGUCGCCACGUACUUCAUUAAAGGGCUAGACUGGAAGCGUAGUCCCGGUCUCCGCAAUCAUCGCAAAAUUUUGCUGGUGGACGCGCGUCAGGGCUUCUGCGGCGGACUAAACGUCGGCAAUGAGUACUGCGGCAAGGCAGCAGGCGGCACCGGCAAGUUCCGCGACACGCACUGCGGCGUCAUCGGCCCAGCUGCGGCACACCUUGCAGAAGUAUACAGAGACACAAAGCAGCCGCACCCUUGGAAGUACGGCUGGCGGCGCUGGAGGCAGAUCGCCUCCCAGCAAAUCACGCGUCGCGUGAAGCAAGGGCGGAUGCGCAUGGAGCGCAACGAGCUGUACCGUGCCUUUCAGGAGGAGCGUGGCCGAAGCGGUCGCCGCUUGCAGGACGUGCCGUCGGCCUCGAUGAAGGCCAUGCGCGGGCGAUGGAACAAACAGAAGAAUCAGCUGCUGACGCUGAUGCAGUGGAGCCGCUCAGGGCUUUCGAGCGACAGCGUUCUUGACCGAGAGGCGGUGCGUCACACACAAGGGCAAGAAAGCUUGCGCGCAGGCGGCAAGCAGGUAACUUUGAGAGAAGAGGCAGCGGCCAGGUGUGCUACUUCGGCUGAAUCGGGCCCCAAAGUCACCAACCACGUACCGGGGUCCUUUGUCGUCAAGGACGCCAACGACGGCACAACCACAUCUGCCUCUCUGCCACCGUCCGAGUUAUCAACUUCGGCCGCUGGCAAGCAUGCAAAGGCCCCGUUGGCGUCGCCCGCUGAAGUGCCAAGCAGCGGCGGCAAGCUGAACAGUGCUCGCAAUUCCGCCAUGCGCCGCAAACUGCUGGCCGCACGACGCGAGGCACUCUCAAGGGCGACCGACCUGCCGCACAAACGCGCCUACACGGAUAUGCUGCGGCGGAUACCAAUUCUCGACACGGAGCCGGUCCCCGAGGCGCAGAUGUAUCUCCGGCACCGUGAGUCCAUGACACAAGUGCUCUCCUGCAACCCCCGCUACCGUGACUACUCCAUUCAGUAUGCCUUUUGGCAGGUAACGCGCAAGUGUCACCGCCGCAUCUGGAUCACGACGCCCUACUACCUCCCAACACGAAAGUUGUUCAGCGCCCUUGUUCAGGCCGCGCGUCGUGGCGUCGAUGUGCGCCUGCUUGCCGGCAGCAAUCAGACAACGGACCCAUGGUUCAUGUGGCACGCGUCGAACUACAUUACUGAGCGACUCCUCAGGGCUGGGGUGAAGAUCUACGAGUUUCAAGGCCAGCAAAUCAUGCAUGCCAAGACGGUGGUUGUGGAUAGCGUGUGGAGCUCGAUCGGAAGCUACAACUGGGACCUCAUGAGCAACCGAAAUCUAGAGGUGUGUCUGUGCCACCUCGACCUUGAAGUAGCCCACUCGAUGGAGACGCAAUUCUUACGGGACCUCGCACAGAGUGUGGAGGUGCGCCUGGAAGACCACAAGCAACGGUCGCUGUGGCUCCGCUUUACGUCGUGGCUCUUCUACAACUUUGUCUUUCUGCUCGACCGCAUCACAUUCCGAUCCUUCGCCAACGAGGACAUCGUGGACGCACCUGGGUCGCCAUGCGACUGACGCAG